CUUAAGUACGUGCGUUACAUACAAAAAUGUAUACUUAUAUUUUUCCUAUGUGAAACAGAACAGGCUAAAAUUGUAUUAACACAUCCUAUGUGAUGAAACUGCAGCAUUCAAAAUAUUGAUGGUGUCGUAAAAGUUUCACUGAACCGAACAAAAAACAAAAACUUUUCGUGUUCAACACAUGACUGCCCGAUUUUCAACUGUGUUUCGAUAUGCAUGUAUAGCAGCUAUGUAAUAUCACAUUAAGUAGUAAGUACGGAUACUUAUUAUGCAGUCGUAUGUAUAACGAUGAGGAUAAUAAUAUAGAUCGAAUAAUUCGGAUAAAACUUAAUGGCCGUACGAAAUCGUGAUUUGCAUAAAUUAAACGCUCGCGAAUAAUCGUAUUUGCAGUCCGUGUUUAUAUAGGUGCGCGCGUGUUUAUAAGGUCACUCCGCGGAAAACGACUCCGAUCAUCGUUGCAUUAAAAAUAACAUUUCGAUCGCUCGAUUGUAUUUGCAAAAACUCCGGCCGAACGACUCGAAAUAAAUUCGACUUCCGUCAUACGAACUGUUGCGGCCGAUGCUAGUGUGGUAGUACGGCAAUAUAAUAUUUUUAUCAUAAUUUUGAAGCUAUAUAAUAUACAAUAUUAUAUCCACCCUAUAUUGAAUAUAGAGUGGAUCAAAAAAAAAUUUUUUUUUCGGGCUUAUCUUCAUAUUUUAUUUAUACAGGUGUUCCAAUGUCCAAUACCAUCAAAAUUUAUAUCCCGCCCCCCCCCCCAAAAAAAAAAAGUGAUCGCGUAAGGGAACCGUAUUUUAUAGGUGAAUAACGAAAUUUUGUUAUGUAUUUUAUUUUUUUUAACGGUUUAAAUUAUUGCUGAACAAAAAAUGGCACGAUAGCAGAUCAUCUGCGAAUAUAACGAGGAAGAAAAGAGAUCUUAUAAUUGAUAAGGAGAAAAUCAAUAUCGAC